AUGGUGAAAAAUGUGGAUCAGUGUUUCCCAAAGCCUAAGACGACGUCCUCAAAUGUCUUUUUUUGUCCACAACUCAAAGAUAUUUAUUUUACUGUCACAGAG